GGGCUCUCUUUGGUGUCACAUAUACUAAAAUUGGAACGAUACAGAGAAGAUUAGUAUGGCCCCUGCGCAAGGAANAAAAAUGACUGAGUAAUACAAAGCUAUU
rnacentral:snRNA from 1 species